GACGAACGCUGGCGGCGUGCUUAACACAUGCAAGUCGAGCGGAAAGGCCCUUUCGGGGGUACUCGAGCGGCGAACGGGUGAGUAACACGUGAGUAAUCUGCCUCUGGCUUCGGGAUAGCCACCGGAAACGGUGAUUAAUACCGGAUAUGACGCAUCACUGCAUGGUGUGUGCGUGGAAAGUUUUUUCGGCCAGGGAUGUGCUCGCGGCCUAUCAGCUUGUUGGUGGGGUAAUGGCCUACCAAGGCUUCGACGGGUAGCCGGCCUGUGAGGGUGACCGGCCACACUGGGACUGAGACACGGCCCAGACUCCUACGGGAGGCAGCAGUGGGGAAUAUUGGACAAUGGGCGGAAGCCUGAUCCAGCAACGCCGCGUGAGGGAUGACGGCCUUCGGGUUGUAAACCUCUUUCAGCACAGACGAAGCGCAAGUGACGGUAUGUGCAGAAGAAGGACCGGCCAACUACGUGCCAGCCGCCGCCGUAACAC
rnacentral:rRNA from 1 species